UGGCUCAGAACGAACGCUGGCGGCAUGCCUUACACAUGCAAGUCGAACGGUAACGCGGGGCAACCUGGCGACGAGUGGCGAACGGGUGAGUAAUAUAUCGGAACGUGCCCAGUAGUGGGGGAUAGCCCGGCGAAAGCCGGAUUAAUACCGCAUACGACCUACGGGUGAAAGCGGGGGAUCGCAAGACCUCGCGCUAUUGGUUCGGCCGAUAUCAGAUUAGCUAGUUUCUCGCGUAAAGGCCGGCAAAAACGACGAUCUGUAGCUGGUCUGAGAGGACGACCGGCCAC
rnacentral:rRNA from 1 species